AUAAUAGUAAUGAACACAUUUAUUAGUAACUUUGUAAUACAUUUUAAUAUUCAAAAUUAAUACUAAUAUCAAGUUUAAUUAAGUUAAUUAUUUGGGUUUUGAUUUUAUUAUUAAAUUUAUAUCACAAAUGACUUUCCUUGACUCUUUGACUUCACACCCCAUCCAAAAAAAAGCAAAGGAAACAUUAAAAAAACAUAACUGUCCUUUUCAAAAUUUUACUCCGGUGAAAUUAAAGACCAAACCCUUCCUUUCAUCUGAAAUCGAACUAAACAACUCCGGCCGCAUCAACACCGAAGUCUGACUCCACCUACCUACAAGGAUAUUGAUUCCCCACCCUUCCAUACCACCAUCGUCGAACUUGGUUACCCUAAUUAAAGUAGGAAUACGCUAUGCCAGAGGAAGGGAAAACUUGGUUCACCGUUCUGAUUAACGACGAGAAGUUGUCUGAAUUGGUGAGAAAUUACUUCUUAAAUUGACAGUACAUAAGUGUAUUGAGAACUUGUCCUGCUAUCACCCUUGAAUUUUAACAUGUACCUUUUAAAUCUUAUACCAGUUUGUUCCAAAUCAAAUUAGUAAGCUCUUUCGCAGGAUUACAAAACAUGUUAGGGUCUAUAGAGGCGAUAACACACGGAUUUACCAUGUUAAGUGGGUUAAGAUAGAGAAAAAUCAGGCAUAGAGAUAUAUUUUAAGGAUGGAUGGUCUGAUUUCGUGAAGGACAACGGCAUAAUGCUUGGUGAUAUACUUGACUUAUUGUAUAUGGGUGAUGGGGCAUUCAAAGUACGUAUCUAGUGUGGUGGCAAAUACAUCCCUGACUCUAUUGAGACAUCUUCUGAUUCUUCGGAAGACAUUGAGCAAAUUGAAAAUGAUGCUGAAAUGGAGGAGGAUGCUAAAAUAGAGGAAGCUAGCCACAACGAUGCUGAAAUGGAGGAGUCUAGCCACAAUGAUGCUGGGUUGGAGGAGGAUACUCUCUCCUUUCCAAAUAACAGGGCUCCACUUCAGUUUGUUUGGAUACGAGAAUCCUACUGACAUCUGGGACGGAAACAAUGAAAUGUGGAAAGCAAAAUUGUUUGUGAAGCGAGAUUCCAAUGUGAAAAUUGUCUUUUGCAACAUCAGGGAAGGGGUCAAGGAGAUGAUGCAUGGUGUGAAGGUUAUGGCUAGGAAGAAGGUCAUUGUACAGUUGCUUCGAAAGAAUCCCCUAGCCUUCAAGGUCUCAAUCAAGUAGUACCAAAAUCAAACACUUCUGUUAUAUGGAGGGCAUUACUUUUUGAACUAAUGUUUGUCAACAACUCUUUUGUUUCCAUUUUGUCUGACUUGUGUUGUAUCUAGGUCAUCUUUUGGGAUGUUGAAAAUAUUUCCUAAUGGCUUAUGUGUAUCACGUAUGUGCUUGUUUUUGAAUUGUAUUUACUCGCCUUUGAACA